rnacentral:rRNA from 1 species
UACGUAGGCAGCAAGCGUUGUUCGGAAUUACUGGGCGUAAAGGGUGCGUAGGCGGCUUUUUAAGUUUGUCGUGAAAUCUCCCGGCUCAACCGGGAGGGUGCGGCGAAUACUGAGAAGCUAGAGUGUGGGAGAGGAAAGUGGAAUUCCUGGUGUAGCGGUGAAAUGCGUAGAUAUCAGGAGGAACACCGGUGGUGUAAACGGCUUUCUGGACCAUAACUGACGCUGAGGCACGAAAGCGUGGGUAGCAAACAGG